GGGGGGGCGGCGGCGGGUUAGUCAGCGUGGGCAGUUGCUUCUACUAUGGAUAGCCAUGGAAACGGUGAGUAAUCACUCAUACGCCCUUUCGGGGGAGAGAUUUAUUCGGUGAAAGAUUCGGCCUGCGUUAGAUUAGGUAGUUUGGUGGGGGUAAACGGCCUACCAAGCCUAACGAUUCUAUAGCUCGGUUUUAGAGGAUGAAUCAGCAACACUUGGGACUGAGACACGGCCCAGACUCCUACGGGAGGCAGCAGUGGGGAAAUCUUAGACAAUGGGGGGCAAACCCUUGAUUCUAGCCAUUGCCGCGUGAGUGAAUGAAAGGGCCCUAAGGGUCGUAAAAAGCUUCUUUUUCGCCAGGGAUUGAAUAAAUUGAACAGUACCUUGGUAAAAAGAAAACCCCGGCUUAACUUCCGUUGCCAGCAGCCGCGGUAAAUAACGGAAGGGGGUUAAGCGUUUGUUUCGGAAAUUUACUUGGGCGUAAAAGCGCGCGUAGGCGGAUUUAGUCAGUCAGAAGGUGAAAAUCCCAGGGCUUCAAACCCUUGGAAACUUGCCUUUUGAUACUUGCUAAGUCUUUGAAGUUUCGAAGAAGAAGGUGAAGUUGGAAAUUUCCCGAGGUUGUAGAAGGUGAAAAUUUCGUAAGAAUAUUUCGGAAGGAGACACCAGUGGCGAAAGGCGGCUUCACUUGGCUCGAUACUUGAACGCUUGAUAGGUGCGAAAGUGUGGGGAAGCAAAACAGGAAUUUAGAUACCCCUUGGGUAGUCCACACCGGUAAACGGAUGGAGUGCC
rnacentral:rRNA from 1 species